GGCUUAGAGUUUGAUCAUGGCUCAGGAUGAACGCUAGCUACAGGCUUAACACAUGCAAGUCGAGGGGCAGCAUGAACUUAGCUUGCUAAGUUUGAUGGCGACCGGCGCACGGGUGAGUAACACGUAUCCAACCUGCCGAUGACUCGGGGAUAGCCUUUCGAAAGAAAGAUUAAUACCCGAUGGCAUAGUUCUUCCGCAUGGUGGAACUAUUAAAGAAUUUCGGUCAUCGAUGGGGAUGCGUUCCAUUAGGUUGUUGGCGGGGUAACGGCCCACCAAGCCUUCGAUGGAUAGGGGUUCUGAGAGGAAGGUCCCCCACAUUGGAACUGAGACACGGUCCAAACUCCUACGGGAGGCAGCAGUGAGGAAUAUUGGUCAAUGGACGAGAGUCUGAACCAGCCAAGUAGCGUGAAGGAUGACUGCCCUAUGGGUUGUAAACUUCUUUUAUACGGGAAUAAAGUGAGGCACGUGUGCCUUUUUGUAUGUACCGUAUGAAUAAGGAUCGGCUAACUCCGUGCCAGCAGCCGCGGUAAUACGGAGGAUCCGAGCGUUAUCCGGAUUUAUUGGGUUUAAAGGGAGCGUAGGCGGACGCUUAAGUCAGUUGUGAAAGUUUGCGGCUCAACCGUAAAAUUGCAGUUGAUACUGGGUGUCUUGAGUACAGUAGAGGCAGGCGGAAUUCGUGGUGUAGCGGUGAAAUGCUUAGAUAUCACGAAGAACUCCGAUUGCGAAGGCAGCUUGCUGGACUGUAACUGACGCUGAUGCUCGAAAGUGUGGGUAUCAAACAGGAUUAGAUACCCUGGUAGUCCACACAGUAAACGAUGAAUACUCGCUGUUUGCGAUAUACAGUAAGCGGCCAAGCGAAAGCGUUAAGUAU
rnacentral:rRNA from 1 species